rnacentral:rRNA from 1 species
UACGUAGGGUGCGAGCGUUGUCCGGAAUUACUGGGCGUAAAGAGCUCGUAGGUGGUUUGUCGCGUUGUUCGUGAAAACUCACAGCUCAACUGUGGGCGUGCGGGCGAUACGGGCAGACUGGAGUACUGCAGGGGAGACUGGAAUUCCUGGUGUAGCGGUGAAAUGCGCAGAUAUCAGGAGGAACACCGGUGGCGAAGGCGGGUCUCUGGGCCGUAACUGACGCUGAGGAGCGAAAGCGUGGGGAGCAAACAGG